rnacentral:rRNA from 1 species
CAGUAACGGCGAGUGAAGCGGUAACAGCUCAAAUUUGAAAGCUAGCUCUUCUAGGGUUCGCAUUGUAAUUUGUAGAAGAUGCUUCGGGUGUGGCCCCGGUCUAAGUUCCUUGGAACAGGACGUCAUAGAGGGUGAGAAUCCCGUAUGUGACUGGGUGCUUUCGCUCAUGUGAAGCUCUUUCGACGAGUCGAGUUGUUUGGGAAUGCAGCUCAAAAUGGGUGGUAAAUUUCAUCUAAAGCUAAAUAUUGGCCAGAGACCGAUAGCGCACAAGUAGAGUGAUCGAAAGAUGAAAAGCACUUUGGAAAGAGAGUUAAACAGUACGUGAAAUUGUUGAAAGGGAAGCGCUUGCAACCAGACUUGCGCGCUGAUGAUCAUCCGGGCUUCUGCCCGGUGCACUCGUCUGCGCUCAGGCCAGCAUCGGUUUCGGUGGUGGGAUAAAGGCCUUGGGAAUGUAGCUUCUUUCGGGGAGUGUUAUAGCCCUCGGUGCAAUGCCGCCUACCGGGACCGAGGACCGCGCUUCGGCUAGGAUGCUGGCGUAAUGGUUGUAAGCGACCCGUCUUGAAACACGGACCAAGGAGUCUAACAUCUAUGCGAGUGUUUGGGUGUCAAACCCAUACGCGUAAUGAAAGUGAACGGAGGUGAGAACCCUUAAGGGUGCAUCAUCGACCGAUCCUGAUGUCUUCGGAUGGAUUUGAGUAAGAGCAUAGCUGUUGGGACCCGAAAGAUGGUGAACUAUGCGUGAAUAGGGUGAAGCCAGAGGAAACUCUGGUGGAGGCUCGCAGCGGUUCUGACGUGCAAAUCGAUCGUCAAAUUUGCGUAUAGGGGCGAAA